UGGGGAAUAUUGGACAAUGGGCGAAAGCCUGAUCCAGCCAUGCCGCGUGUGUGAAGAAGGUCUUCGGAUUGUAAAGCACUUUAAGUUGGGAGGAAGGGCAGUAAGCGAAUACCUUGCUGUUUUGACGUUACCGACAGAAUAAGCACCGGCUAACUCUGUGCCAGCAGCCGCGGUAAUACAGAGGGUGCGAGCGUUAAUCGGAUUUACUGGGCGUAAAGCGUGCGUAGGCGGCUAAUUGAGUCGGAUGUGAAAUCCCCGAGCUUAACUUGGGAAUUGCAUUCGAUACUGGUUAGCUAGAGUGUGGGAGAGGAUGGUAGAAUUCCAGGUGUAGCGGUGAAAUGCGUAGAGAUCUGGAGGAAUACCGAUGGCGAAGGCAGCCAUCUGGCCUAACACUGACGCUGAGGUACGAAAGAAUGGGGAGCAAACAGG
rnacentral:rRNA from 1 species